UGUAGAGUGAAGUUCUAUUGUGCAGAGGAAAAACUUGUGUACAUCUCUGUAAAUACAGACCAGGCUUGGAAAAUGCUGAAAAGGUGUUAUCAAUGAGCCCGGGAUGCAAUAAAGCUCGUUUUAUUAAGGCUGAGUGUCUGUUUGCCCUUGGUGAAUUUGAGAGAGC